rnacentral:misc_RNA from 1 species
GAUAAGAACGCAGCGAAAUGCGAUACUUGGUGUGAAUUGCAGAAUCCCGUGAACCAUCGAGUCUUUGAACGCAAGUUGCGCCCGAAGCCACUAGGCCGAGGGCACGCCUGCCUGGGCGUCACACGCCGUUGCCCCCCCAUCUACUCCUUCGGGAUUGCGGGGGGGCGGAUGAUGGCCUCCCGUGCGCCUAGCCGCGCGGUUGGCAUAAAUACCAAGUCCUCGGCGACGCACGCCACGACAAUCGGUGGUUGCGAAACCUCGGUUGCCCGUCGUGUGCGUUCGUCGCGCAUCGAGGGCUCGAAAAAAUGCUCGGCUCCGGCUGGGCUUUCAACGCGACCCCAGGUCAGGCGGGGUUACCCGCUGAAUUUAAGCAUAUCAAUAAGCGGAGGA